UGUGACCCCAUAGAUGGCAGCCCACCAGGCUCCCCCGUCCCUGGGAUUCUCCAGGCAAGAACACUGGAGUGGGUCGCCGUUUCCUUCUCCAACGCAUGAAAGUGAAAAGGGAAAAUGAAGUCGCUCAGUCGAGUCCGACUCUUAGCGACCCCAUGGACUGCAGCCUACCAGGCUCCUCCAUCCACGGGAUUUUCCAGCCUCUGGAAUUAUCCAGACGUUCAGUGAACAGCAUUAUAGCAUGAAUGUGGAAAGAAGAGAUAAGCAUGUGACUGGACCCACAAACACCUUUGCUUGUGAGAGGCAUGCCCCCUUCUACAGGUCCUUGUACAGGUCACUGAUGAAAAUGUGAACCGGACUGGCAAAGGACAAAAUCCAGAUGUGAAAUCAAGUUUCAAUUUUAGCUGACUCCAGGGCUCGUGCUUUUAAAUACUAGCUGUUGCUUCCAUUUUUAAUUGCGAGACACCAUCUUGUUCUUCAAAUGUUUUAUGAUGUCUUACAAGGAUGCUAAAGAUAUGAGGAAGCAUGAAAUAAAUAACUGGAAUAAAGACAGACCAGAGAGAAGCAAAAUGAACUGUGGAUCAGAACAAAAUGUUUGAGCAUUUGCUAACUGCAGGGUCACUGGUUUGGCUUUGAGUGUUCUGAAAAGUCAAAAUAGGAACACAUGUUCAAUUGCUCAGUCAGCACUGAACGCAAACAUUGCUCAGGAGAAGUAUCUGGGAAACCCGGGGCUUCUUAAAGAUGAUACUGAGGAUUAAAGGAAUGUCUGCAAAAACAUCCUCAUGAUCUAUGCAGACAAGAGUGUCACAGGACUCAGUGAACCACAAUUUAUACCAUCCACUUCCUCCCUCAUAAAAAAACAAACAGAAUUUUGGCUUGCUUUAUACUUCUUCAAAAAUUUCUUCAUUCCCAUUUCCAGUACCUUUCCCAUCACUAAUCACUCACUCCAAAAGAAGAUUAAUAACCACCAUGCAAGUCUUGGCUCACAUUUUCUCAGUACUCCAGAAUGUAAUAAUAAUAGUUGGAGUAGUUAGGAUUUCUUUUUACAGUUUCACAGUUUCUUGGCUCACCUUUCCUUUUGGAUUCUCGUGCAUGAAAUCACACCUGACUUUAAGGAAUGAGGUUUCCCCUUGCAUGAAGUCGAUGUGCUAUUUCCCAGGCGGCUGUCAGGUCUGCAGGUGAGGUUAGCGUGAACGGGAAUAACAAGGUGCCCGUCACAGUGCCAGUGCACCGGCCCAUCCCUCCAUGCAGCUUGAUAAUGUGGAGUCAAGAACAGCAGAUUCCCUCGUGUCAGUUGAAACCAGUGAUGAGACCCAUAAUUUGUCACUUACCUGUAUGAGACUAUACAGUAAUGGGAGUUUUAUCUUGAAAGAUAUCAGUGUUUUCUUGCCAUCUGAAAAAGACAUGAUGUUAAGCGUGCUGGGAUUUUUGAAAGGAGAUCUGUUGACACAAGACUGAUGGUUAGGAUAGAAUCAUGCAUGAUUUGGAAAGUACUCUGUCAUCUUCUAACAUUAAGCCAUGUAACUCCUCUUUAGCUGGUUCCUUAUCCUUCAGAUCCCACCUUGAGUACCGGCUCCUCAGCUGAGCCUUCUCUGACAGCUCUGAAUAGGCAGUCCUCGUCCCUUGAUGAUUUUUUGUUUACUUAUUUCAGUCAGUAAACAUUCCCUAUUCUGCUACACAGAAGGGCAGCAGGACUUCCCUUGUGGUCUCAGGGCCUAGAUCAGGGUUUGGUUCAUAGCAGGGGCACUGUAACCACCUGCUGGAAAGAGUGAAAACAGCCAAACAGGUGGCUGUGGAGUCAGGCUCUGAGGAGCAUGUUGGGACCAAGUCUACAUCAUGAGAAGAGAGUGAGGCUGCUCUGAUAUCAGG
ensembl:lncRNA